rnacentral:rRNA from 1 species
AACCUCGGGAAACUGAGGAUAAUGUUUUAUAGUUGAAAAGGCUUGGAAAAGUUUUUCAAUGAAAGGGAUAAGGAAAAUGGUUCUUAUUUGCCAUAGGAUAGGAUCGUGGUCGAUUAUGGUAGUUGGUGAGGUAACGGCUCACCAAGCCGAUAAUCGAUAGGGGCCGUGAGAGCGGGAGCCCCGAGAUGGGUACUGAGACAACGACCCAGGCCUUACGAGGCGCAGCAGGCGCGAAACCUCCGCAAUACACGAAAGUGUGACGGGGUUACCCAAAGUGUUCAUAAUUGAACUGUGGUAGGUGAGUAAUAUCCCCUACUAGAAAGGAGAGGGCAAGGCUGGUGCCAGCCGCCGCGGUAAAACCAGCUCUUCAAGUGGUCGGGAUAAUUAUUGGGCUUAAAGUGUCCGUAGCCGGUUUAGUAAGUUCCUGGUAAAAUCGGGUAGCUUAACUAUCUGUAUGCUAGGAAUACUGCUAUACUAGAGGGCGGGAGAGGUCUGAGGUACUACAGGGGUAGGGGUGAAAUCUUAUAAUCCUUGUAGGACCACCAGUGGCGAAGGCGUCAGACUGGAACGCGCCUGACGGUGAGGGACGAAAGCCAGGGGAGCGAACCGGAUUAGAUACCCGGGUAGUCCUGGCCGUAAACGAUGCAUACUAGGUGAUGGCAUGGCUAUGAGCCGUGUCAGUGCCGUAGGGAAACCGUUA